rnacentral:rRNA from 1 species
UACGGAGGAUGCGAGCGUUAUCCGGAUUUAUUGGGUUUAAAGGGUGCGUAGGCGGGCUGCUAAGUCAGCGGUCAAAUGUCGGGGCUCAACCCCGGCCUGCCGUUGAAACUGGUGGCCUCGAGUGGGCGAGAAGUAUGCGGAAUGCGUGGUGUAGCGGUGAAAUGCAUAGAUAUCACGCAGAACUCCGAUUGCGAGGGCAGCAUACCGGCGCCCGACUGACGCUGAGGCACGAAAGCGUGGGUAUCGAACAGG